UAAAGAGAGAAAAUUUCAUAAUUAUAAAUUUAUAAUAGUUUAAGAAUACAAUUUCGAAAUAAACAAACUUUAAAAAUGAAUAAAUAAAUAAAAAUCUCUAAAAUCUUGUGACGUGUUCUGAUAAAUGAUUGUGAUCUAUAAAUUAUGUGAUUGUGACUUAGUAUAAUGUCUUAUUGAGAUUUUUUUUUGUUGGGUCCGAGCCCUCUUCUGAGAACAGUGUCCUACCCAGGCCCAAAAGAACUACUCUUCGGGCCCAUUUUACAUGUCCACUAAUUUGAAGAAUUUAUAGAUGCACCCUGUGCAAUUUUCGUAUGUUCUUCCCGCUCUUCGCUGCAAAUUUCAGGCUACAAUUUACUGGAAAUAUGCUCUCAGAUUCUAUGAGCGCUAUCGUUGUGGUGGACUGGUUAAUACACACACAUGUUAAAAAUCCAAUCUUUCAUGUAUGAAUACAGGUGUUCAACUUCAAACUGAAGUCUGUAGGAUGCCCGUAUAUCUUGGCAUACCGCAGACUUCAACUGUAAAAUGUUGGGGUAAGUUUCAUUGAAUCAAGUAUAUGUGGAAUUUGUAUAUCGAUACCAUGUUGCCUUUUGAGUUUUAA